UUAUUUAUAAAUGGAUAAACAGAAAAGAAGACUGAGAAAAUGUGAGAAUGCAGAAGUAUGUGUGAAUAAUCGCAACCCUACCCGAAACCACUUCCUCCUAAACCAACUUAGGAAGAGGAUACAUUGACCUCGCCAACAGCGCCAUCACACCACACCACAGACUCUUGCUCUCUGUCUCCGGCUGAACCAGGGGCCAAUUUAAGAUAGUCGGACAAUGAUGGACAUCUACGUCAACGUUGACCCUCUUAAACCAUCAGCAGCUUCACCAAACCAGCCAGUUUAGCAGGAGUGUGUGUAGGCAUGUGUGCGUGUGUAUGUUUGUGAGUGCAUAUGUGUGUGUGUGCACGUGUGUAGCCGUGCGGGCACGUGCAGACAUCCUGAGGCUGCUGGCGUCCCUGCUGGUGCUCCAGCUGAUGCGGCUGGAGGGUGUGGCUGAGGGGCGGCUGUUGAGGAGCCUGUUCAGCCUGGACACGCCCCUGGAGACCAGGUCUCUGCCCUCCCCUCCAGUCCACCCCAACACUACAGGGCCCUCCACUCCAGUCCACCCCAACACUACAGGGCCCUCCACACCGGUCCACCCCAACACUACAGGGCCCUCCCCUCCAGUCCACCCCAACACUACAGGGCCCUCCACUACUGUCCACCCCAACACUACAGGGCCCUCCCCUCCAGUCCACCCCAACACUACAGGGCCCUCCCAUCCAGUCCACCCCAACACUACAGGGCCCUCCCCUCCAGUCCACCCCAACACUACAGGGCCCUCCCCUCCAGUCCACCCCAACACUACAGGGCCCUCCACUACUGUCCACCUCAACACUACAGGGCCCUCCACACCGGUCCACCCCAACACUACAGGGCCCUCCCCUCUGGUCCACCCCAACACUACAGGGCCCUCCACUACUGUCCACCUCAACACUACAGGGCCCUCCACUACUGUCCACCUCAACACUACAGGGCCCUCCACUCCGGUCAACCCCAACACUACAGGGCCCUCCAAUACUGAAGGGCUACUACUAAUUUAUUCCAAGUUUUAUUAAUUCAGAAAGAACAAACAGUAGGCCUACUAAAUUAUGAUGAUAUGAUACAUGAUAUGCAUCAUCAUGCAUCAUCAUAAGAUAAUCAUCACACCAACAUGAGUUUUUAUUCUUACUCUGAGUAAAUGUGAGAAUGCAGAAGUUUGUAUGAAUAAUCCCACCCCAACCCCAAACCACUUCCUCCUAAACCAACUUUGAAAGAAGAUGCAUUGAUCUCGCCGCCACACCACUCCACAGACAGCUCUCUGUUUCCAGCUGAACCAGGGGCCAGGGACCCAUUGACGAUAGUUGGACAAUGGAGGACAUCUACAUCAACGUUGACCCUCUUAAACCAUCAGCAGCUUCACCAAACCAGCCAGGGCACCUGGGACCCAGAGCCAAGGGAACACGGAGGAGCCGCUGGGGACCUGCGGUACUUGGUCUGGGGCUUCUGUGUGCUGGUCUUCUGGCUGGACUCCUGGUCCUUGCUGUACGAUGUGAGUUUGAAUAAAUACAUGAAUAAACACCAAGGU